AUUGAACGCUGGCGGCAGGCGUAACACAUGCAAGUCGAGCGGCAGAACAGUACUUGCUUGUGGUUACAGCGGCCGACUGGCGAGCGAUGGCUAGGAACCUCCGUGUCUGCGUUUGAGAACGUCCGGACGCGGGCGCAAUUACGCCAAUAGCGCAUACGGCGUACGGGGGAGAGCAUCGGAUCUUCCGCCCUUGCGCGAUUGUAUGUGCCGAUGUCGGAUUAGCUAGUUGGCGGGGUAAAGGCCCACCAAGGCGACGAUCCGUAGCUGGUCUGAGAGGAUGAUCAGCCACACUGGAACUGAGACACGGUCCAGACUCCUACGGGAGGCAGCAGUGGGGAAUAUUGGACAAUGGGCGCAAGCCUGAUCCAGCCAUACCGCGUGUGUGAAGAAGGUCUUCGGGUUGUAAAGCACUUUUGGUUGGGAGGAAGGGCAGUAGGUUAAUACCUUGCUGUUUUGACGUUACCAACAGAAUAAGCACCGGCUAACUUCGUG
rnacentral:rRNA from 1 species